GACGAACGCUGGCGGCGUGCUUAACACAUGCAAGUCGAACGGAAAGGCCCUGCUUUUGUGGGGUGCUCGAGUGGCGAACGGGUGAGUAACACGUGAGUAACCUGCCCUCGACUUUGGGAUAACUUCAGGAAACUGGGGCUAAUACCGGAUAGGAGCUCCUGCUGCAUGGGGGGGGUUGGAAAGUUUCGGCGGUUGGGGAUGGGCUCGCGGCUUAUCAGCUUGUUGGUGGGGUAGUGGCUUACCAAGGCUUUGACGGGUAGCCGGCCUGAGAGGGUGACCGGCCACAUUGGGACUGAGAUACGGCCCAGACUCCUACGGGAGGCAGCAGUGGGGAAUAUUGCACAAUGGGCGGAAGCCUGAUGCAGCAACGCCGCGUGCGGGAUGACGGCCUUCGGGUUGUAAACCGCUUUCGCCUGUGACGAAGCGUGAGUGACGGUAAUGGGUAAAGAAGCACCGGCUAACUACGUG
rnacentral:rRNA from 1 species